UACGGAGGGUGCAAGCGUUAUCCGGAUUUACUGGGUUUAAAGGGUGCGCAGGCGGAUACGUAAGUCAGUGGUGAAAUCUCCGGGCUUAACCCGGAACUGCCGUUGAUACUAUAUAUCUUGAAUGCUGUCGGAGGUAAGCAGAAUAUGUCAUGUAGCGGUGAAAUGCUUAGAGAUGACAUAGAAUACCUAUUGCGAAGGCAGCUUACUACGCAGAUAUUGACGCUCAUGCACGAAAGCGUGGGGAUCAAACAGG
rnacentral:rRNA from 1 species